UACGUAGGGGGGCAAGCGUUGUCCGGAAUCAUUGGGCGUAAAGAGCGCGUAGGCGGUCCGGUAAGUCCGCUCUGAAAGUCCGGGGCUCAACCCCGGGAGGCGGGCGGAUACUGUCGGGCUAGAGUCCGGAAGAGGCGAGUGGAAUCCUGGUGUAGCGGUGGAAUGCGCAGAUAUCAGGAGGAACACCAAUGGCGAAGGCAGCUCGCUGGGACGGUACUGACGCUGAGGCGCGAAAGCGUGGGGAGCAAACAGG
rnacentral:rRNA from 1 species